CCUACGGGCGGCAGCAGUGGGGAAUAUUGGACAAUGGGGGGAACCCUGAUCCAGCCAUGCCGCGUGUGUGAAGAAGGCCCUCGGGUUGUAAAGCACUUUCAGUGAGGAAGAACGCCUGGUGGUUAAUACCCAUCAGGAAAGACAUCACUCACAGAAGAAGCACCGGCUAACUCCGUGCCAGCAGCCGCGGUAAUACGGAGGGUGCGAGCGUUAAUCGGAAUUACUGGGCGUAAAGCGCGCGUAGGUGGCUUGAUAAGCCGGUUGUGAAAGCCCCGGGCUCAACCUGGGAACGGCAUCCGGAACUGUCAAGCUAGAGUGCAGGGGAGGAAGGUAGAAUUCCCGGUGUAGCGGUGAAAUGCGUAGAGAUCGGGAGGAAUACCAGUGGCGAAGGCGGCCUUCUGGACUGACACUGACACUGAGGUGCGAAAGCGUGGGUAGCAAACAGGAUUAGAUACCCCUGUAGUC
rnacentral:rRNA from 1 species